rnacentral:rRNA from 1 species
UAGAGUUUGAUCAUGGCUCAGGACGAACGCUGGCGGCAUGCCUAACACAUGCAAGUCGAACGAGAAAGUUCCUUCGGGAGCAAUUAAAGUGGCGCACGGGUGAGUAACGCGUAGACAAUCUGCCCUUCAGUCUGGGACAACUUUUCGAAAGGAGAGCUAAUACCGGAUAACAAUGCAUGACACAAGUUGUAUAUUUGAAAGCUUUAUGUGCUGAAGGAGGGGUCUGCGUCCCAUUAGCUAGUUGGUAGGGUAAAGGCUUACCAAGGCAACGAUGGGUAGCGGGUUUGAGAGGACGAUCCGCCACACUGGAACUGAGACACGGUCCAGACUCCUACGGGAGGCAGCAGUGGGGAAUAUUGCACAAUGGAGGAAACUCUGAUGCAGCAAUGUCGCGUGAGUGAAGAAGGCCCUUGGGUCGUAAAGCUCUUUUAUGGGGGAAGAUGAUGACGGUACCCCAAGAAUAAGCACCGGCUAACUAUGUGCCAGCAGCCGCGGUAAUACAUAGGGUGCGAGCGUUGUUCGGAAUUACUGGGCGUAAAGGGCGCGCAGGCGGAAUAGUAAGUCGGAGGUGAAAGCCCGGGGCUCAACCCCGGAGGGUCUUUCGAAACUACUAAUCUAGAGAGGGUCAGGGGCCGGCAGAAUUCCUGGUGUA